UACGGGGGGGGCAAGCGUUGUUCGGAAUUACUGGGCGUAAAGGGCUCGUAGGCGGCCAACUAAGUCAGACGUGAAAUCCCCAGGCUUAACCUGGGAACUGCGUCUGAUACUGGAUGGCUUGAAUUCGGGAGAGGGAUGCAGAAUUCCAGGUGUAGCGGUGAAAUGCGUAGAUAUCUGGAGGAAUACCGGUGGCGAAGGCGGCAUCCUGGACCGACAUUGACGCUGAUGGGCGAAAGCUAGGGGAGCAAACGGA
rnacentral:rRNA from 1 species